rnacentral:lncRNA from 1 species
GUCAGCCUCUCUGUGCAGGGGAAUGUAUUGUCGGAGAAAGCAUCAUCUUGCUCUAUAAAAUCAUUUGUCGUCAACUUUAUUUCAGAGCCUUUAUCGUAAAGCUGUUGUAGCUUUGAACGGCAGCCCCCCGGUUCCAGUGUUCGGGGGUUAUUUGGACUGCCUGGACCUCCAGGAGGACCCUUGGCUUCUGCUUGAAAUGCUCUUUAAUCUUCUGUUCAAAAGGCGUCUCCUCUGGAAAGUCUUCCCUGGUGCUUUGGGUAGAAUUAAGAUGUGAAGAAAAUUAGGGUACAAAAUUAAAGCUUGAAAAAGAAAGGCGUUUUUGGAGAGACUCGCCAUUAGUGAGAUGUUCGUGAUGUUGCAGGGGUGCGGGCACAGAGAAAGAAGACUGUGAAAUCAAAUUUGCAUGGAUGCUGAUGCUGCUGGUCCAGGGACCACACUUCGAGAAACUGCAUCCAAAGAUUCUGAGCACUGGGUUUUUAAAAAUUUCCCUGAUGAACUGACGAUUGGAUAAAGAAGAUGUGGUAUAUAUAUACAAUGGAAUACUACUCAACCAUAAAGAAGGACAAAGUUGUCCCAUUCACAACAACAUGGAUAGACCUUGAGGGUAUUAUGUUGAGUGAAAUAAACCAGACAGAGAAAGACGAACUCUGUAUGACUCCACUCGUAGGUGGUAGUUAACAUAUGGACAAAGAGAACUGAUUGGUGGUUGCCAGGGGAAAGGGGGGUGGGGGGAGGGCACUAGGGGUGAAGUGGUAUACCUACAACAUG